rnacentral:rRNA from 2 species
CGAAUAGGGAAACCUUAGUAGAGCGGCGCACGGGUGCGUAACACGUGGAUAAUCUGCCUGGAUGCCUGGGAUAACCAGUCGAAAGAUUGGCUAAUACCGGAUAAGCCCACGGUUUCUUCGGAGACUGAGGGAAAAGGUGGCCUCUGUAUACAAGCUAUCACAACCAGAUGAGUCCGCGGCCCAUCAGCUAGUUGGCGGGGUAAUGGCCCACCAAGGCAACGACGGGUAGCUGGUCUGAGAGGACGAUCAGCCACACUGGAACUGAGACACGGUCCAGACUCCUACGGGAGGCAGCAGUGGGGAAUUUUGCGCAAUGGGCGAAAGCCUGACGCAGCAACGCCGCGUGUGUGAUGAAGGUCUUCGGAUUGUAAAGCACUUUCGACCGGGACGAAAACCCGUAGCCUAACACGCUACGGCUUGACGGUACCGGGAGAAGAAGCACCGGCUAACUCUGUGCCAGCAGCCGCGGUAAUACAGAGGGUGCAAGCGUUGUUCGGAAUUAUUGGGCGUAAAGCGCGUGUAGGCGGCGUGACAAGUCGGGUGUGAAAGCCCUCAGCUCAACUGAGGAAGUGCGCCCGAAACUGUCGUGCUUGAGUGCCGGAGAGGGUGGCGGAAUUCCCCAAGUAGAGGUGAAAUUCGUAGAUAUGGGGAGGAACACCGGUGGCGAAGGCGGCCACCUGGACGGUAACUGACGCUGAGACGCGAAAGCGUGGGGA